GACUUUAAUUGAGUGCUAAGAGAAUGGAAUUACAGAAAAAAGCUUUUUUAAAUUUAAUAAUUAAAGUUAUUUUUAUUUGUGAAGAAACAAUAAUUAAAAUUAAGGACAAGAAGACCCUAUGAAUUUUUCUGAAAUAUAUUUCAUUUAAAGAAAUAUAUAUUUCUUUAAUUGGGGCGAUUAAUUAAUAUUUUGAACUUUUUUGCAAAAAUAUGAACCGUUUAAUAGCGGUAAAUUGUAAAAAUACUCUAGGGAUAACAGCGUAAUAAUUUUAGAUAGUUCAUAUUGACAAAAUAGUUUGCGACCUCGAUGUUGGAUUUGGAUGUUUUUUUGGCGAAGAA
rnacentral:rRNA from 1 species